rnacentral:rRNA from 2 species
GUAACCUGCCCUUAACUCUGGGAUAAGCCUGGGAAACUGGGUCUAAUACCGGAUAUGACUCCUCAUCGCAUGGUGGGGGGUGGAAAGCUUUUUGUGGUUUUGGAUGGACUCGCGGCCUAUCAGCUUGUUGGUGAGGUAAUGGCUCACCAAGGCGACGACGGGUAGCCGGCCUGAGAGGGUGACCGGCCACACUGGGACUGAGACACGGCCCAGACUCCUACGGGAGGCAGCAGUGGGGAAUAUUGCACAAUGGGCGAAAGCCUGAUGCAGCGACGCCGCGUGAGGGAUGACGGCCUUCGGGUUGUAAACCUCUUUCAGUAGGGAAGAAGCGAAAGUGACGGUACCUGCAGAAGAAGCGCCGGCUAACUACGUGCCAGCAGCCGCGGUAAUACGUAGGGCGCAAGCGUUAUCCGGAAUUAUUGGGCGUAAAGAGCUCGUAGGCGGUUUGUCGCGUCUGCCGUGAAAGUCCGGGGCUCAACUCCGGAUCUGCGGUGGGUACGGGCAGACUAGAGUGAUGUAGGGGAGACUGGAAUUCCUGGUGUAGCGGUGAAAUGCGCAGAUAUCAGGAGGAACACCGAUGGCGAAGGCAGGUCUCUGGGCAUUAACUGACGCUGAGGAGCGAAAGCAUGGGGAGCGAACAGGAUUAGAUACCCUGGUAGUCCAUGCCGUAAACGUUGGGCACUAGGUGUGGGGGACAUUCCACGUUUUCCGCGCCGUAGCUAACGCAUUAAGUGCCCCGCCUGGGGAGUACGGCCGCAAGGCUAAAACUCAAAGGAAUUGACGGGGGCCCGCACAAGCGGCGGAGCAUGCGGAUUAAUUCGAUGCAACGCGAAGAACCUUACCAAGGCUUGACAUGGGCCGGACCGGGCUGGAAACAGUCCUUCCCCUUUGGGGCCGGUUCACAGGUGGUGCAUGGUUGUCGUCAGCUCGUGUCGUGAGAUGUUGGGUUAAGUCCCGCAACGAGCGCAACCCUCGUUCCAUGUUGCCAGCGCGUAAUGGCGGGGACUCAUGGGAGACUGCCGGGGUCAACUCGGAGGAAGGUGGGGACGACGUCAAAUCAUCAUGCCCCUUAUGUCUUGGGCUUCACGCAUGCUACAAUGGCCGGUACAAAGGGUUGCGAUACUGUGAGGUGGAGCUAAUCCCAAAAAGCCGGUCUCAGUUCGGAUUGGGGUCUGCAACUCGACCCCAUGAAGUCGGAGUCGCUAGUAAUCGCAGAUCAGCAACGCUGCGGUGAAUACGUUCCCGGGCCUUGUACACACCGCC